UUCGAACUUAGCGUUCAUAACAAGCUCGUUUAUGCAUUUUAUAUAUGAUCUCCAUCCUUGCUCUAAGCUCAUAGGUCACUCGCCACCUCUUUGUGUGGAAUUACAAUCACAAUGGCGAAGAGUGCAUGCUCAAUCUUUUUCAUUUCAGUGCUUUUCCAAAUAAUCCUUUGUGUGUUGGCCCAAAAGAGCAAGUUUGCCAAUGUAAGUCCUGCAUCAUUCAUAUGGAAGGACGCAGAGCUUAACAAGGACUGCUCUGCGAGAGAAAUUGAAAAUUCAAACUUGAGGGUCACCCACAUUCAAGGAAAAUGUUCCCCAUUCAGGCACCCCAAUUCAACAUGGUGGAGUGCGAUAAUGGAAUCCAUCAAGGGCGAUGAACAUCGCUACCGAGCAAUAAUGAACAGAAGCGUGGGCCGGUCAUUUAAGACCAGCAGCCCGAAUAGUCCACAAGAGGACACCGAUGUACCAUUAUCCUCCUCCAAGAGUGGUGGAAAUUACAUUAUCAAGCUGGGUUUCGGCACACCCAUUCAAAACUUCUACUUGGAAGUGGACACCGGGAGUGAUAUAACCUGGAUCCCCUGUGCUCCCUGCUCUUCUUGCUCAAGUGCCCUCUUCAGCCCAUCUAAAUCUUCAACCUACAAAUACCUCACCUGCGCUUCAAAGCCUUGUCAAGAUCUGGGCAUCUGUGGAAAUAAUAAAAAUAGCAACUGCAGCGUUGGACAACAAUACGGGGAUCAAUCAGAGGUUGAUCAGUUGAUGUCAUCUGAGACUCUCUCUGUGAGCUCGCAGUACCGCGUGAAGGAUUUUGUUUUUGGAUGCGCGUAUUCUCUCAAGGGACCUCUCAUCCAGUCCUCGCCUGGUUUAAUUGGCUUUGGAAGGGACCCUGUUUCCUUUGUUUCACAGACGGCUGCUUUAUAUGACAGAACGUUCUCUUAUUGCCUUCCUAGCCUUGCGUCCUCUGCUUUCACUGGGUCUAUCAGAUUGGGGAAAACCGCUCUUUCUGUUCCGGGCUUGCAGUUCACUCCCCUCUUGUCAAAUUCCCAACUUCCUUCUUUCUAUUUUCUAGGGCUCACUGGAAUCUCUGUGGGAGAAGAGCUUGUUUCUAUUCCUCCUGGAAAGGGGAAAGGGACUAUUAUUGAUUCGGGUACUGUUAUUAGUCGGCUGGUGAAGCCCGCUUACAAUGCCAUGCGAGAUUCUUUCCGCCGUCAAAUUGUCUAAUCUCACUCUGGCUCGGCCCUCAGAGCCCUUCGAUACGUGCUAUAAGGUUCCUCAAAAAGCUGUGAAGUUUCCUGUGAUUACAUUGCAUUUUGGGAAUAGUUUGGACUUGAGUCUGCCUAUGGAGAACACUCUGUUCCCUGGAAAUGCUAGGGGUUCGGUCUUGUGCUUGGCUUUUGCUCUUCCUCCCGAUGGGGGAGACUCGAACACGGUUUCCAUAAUUGGGAAUUACCAGCAGCAGAACUUCCGCGUAGUGCAUGAUGUGCCAGGCUCAAGGCUUGGUGUUGCUCCAGAGAAUUGUGAUGUUUAGUGCUUGGCUGUUUGUAUGUUCUAGGUUACGAGUCUUUGAUAAAAGCAUCUUGAUGUAACUUUGUGUUUGUUCUUAUUUACUAAUCCAUUAUCAUUGAAAAAGUUGUCUGA